rnacentral:rRNA from 1 species
GACGAACGCUGGCGGCGUGCUUAACACAUGCAAGUCGAGCGGUAAGGCCCUUUCGGGGGUACACGAGCGGCGAACGGGUGAGUAACACGUGGGUGACCUGCCCUCAGCUCUGGGAUAAGCCUGGGAAACCGGGUCUAAUACUGGAUAUGACUCCAUGACGCAUGUUGUGGGGUGGAAAGCCUUGUGCGGCUGAGGAUGGGCCCGCGGCCUAUCAGCUUGUUGGUGGGGUGANGGCCUACCAAGGCGACGACGGGUAGCCGGCCUGAGAGGGCGACCGGCCACACUGGGACUGAGACACGGCCCAGA